CCGGCGCACGGGUGAGUAACGCGUAUCCAACCUACCCAUUACUGUGGGAUAACCUACCGAAAGGCAGACUAAUACCGCAUAGUCUUCGAUGACGGCAUCAGAUUUGAAGUAAAGAUUUAUCGGUAAUGGAUGGGGAUGCGUCUGAUUAGCUUGUUGGCGGGGUAACGGCCCACCAAGGCAGCGAUCAGUAGGGGUUCUGAGAGGAAGGUCCCCCACAUUGGAACUGAGACACGGUCCAAACUCCUACGGGAGGCAGCAGUGAGGAAUAUUGGUCAAUGGGCGCGAGCCUGAACCAGCCAAGUAGCGUGCAGGAUGACGGCCCUAUGGGUUGUAAACUGCUUUUGUAUGGGGAUAAAGUCAAUCACGUGUGAUUGUUUGCAGGUACCAUACGAAUAAGGACCGGCUAAUUCCGUGCCAGCAGCCGCGGUAAUACGGAAGGUCCGGGCGUUAUCCGGAUUUAUUGGGUUUAAAGGGAGCGUAGGCCGGAGAUUAAGUGUGUUGUGAAAUGUAGACGCUCAACGUCUGACUUGCAGCGCAUACUGGUUUCCUUGAGUACGCACAACGUUGGCGGAAUUCGUCGUGUAGCGGUGAAAUGCUUAGAUAUGACGAAGAACUCCGAUUGCGAAGGCAGCUGACGGGAGCGCAACUGACGCUUAAGCUCGAAGGUGCGGGUAUCGAACAGGAUUAGAUACCCUGGUAGUCCGCACAGUAAACGAUGGAUGCCCGCUGUUGGUACCUGGUAU
rnacentral:rRNA from 1 species